GGUUGCGAUCAUACCAGCAUAAUGACCGGAUCCAUCAGAACUCCGCAGUUAAGCGUGCUUGGGCGAGAGUAGUACUAGGAUGGGUGACCCCUGGGAAGUCCUCGUGUUGCAACCC
rnacentral:rRNA from 1 species